AUGUCGCAUAUUUCCACUAUCUACAUGUUGUGGAGAUGGGCUAAAGGCGUACAUAUGCAAGGCAGUGACUACAUUAUCGGAUUAUUCCAUGUAUUGGUUAUGAAAGCCUUAGGCACGGAUUUUUAUGGUUAUUUCUACUUGCCGGCUAUCAAGACGAGGGGUGGCAUCUUGGUUGCUUGGAUUAGUCGCGCAGUUUGGAUGAGCAACGUCCACUUAUCGGACAAUUGUGUGACGUUUCUGGUCUCCCCCUCCGUUGAAGACUAUUGGUUGUUGGACAAGGUCGCUUUCCUCGAUGAGAUGCGAGAUGUCCUACUAGGCCACUAG
rnacentral:rRNA from 1 species